GACGAACGCUGGCGGCGUGCUUAACACAUGCAAGUCGAACGAAGUGGCGAACGGGUGAGUACCGCGUAAUCAACCUGCCCUUCCGAGGGGGACAACAGUUGGAAACGUGGUCUAAUACCGCAUACUGAAGGAGGGGAUUGCGUCUGAUUCGCUAGUUGGCGGGGUAACGGCCCACCAAGGCGAUGAUCAGUAGCCGGUCUGAGAGGAUGAACGGCCACAUUGGGACUGAGACAAGGCCCAGACGCCUACGGGAGGCAGCAGUGGGGAAUCUUCCGCAAUGGACGAAAGUCUGACGGAGCAACGCCGCGUGAGUGAUUACGGCCUUCGGGUUGGAAAGCUCUGUUAAGCGGGACGCGGUACCGGAAGAGAAAGCCACGGCUAACUACGUGCCAGCAGCCGCGGUAAUAC
rnacentral:rRNA from 1 species